AAUACAUGCAAGUCGAGCGGACUUGAAGAGAAGCUUGCUUCUCUGAUGGUUAGCGGCGGACGGGUGAGUAACACGUAGGCAACCUGCCCUCAAGCUUGGGACAACUACCGGAAACGGUAGCUAAUACCGAAUACUUGCUUCCUUCGCCUGAAGGAAGCUGGAAAGACGGAGCAAUCUGUCACUUGAGGAUGGGCCUGCGGCGCAUUAGCUAGUUGGUGAGGUAACGGCUCACCAAGGCGACGAUGCGUAGCCGACCUGAGAGGGUGAUCGGCCACACUGGGA
rnacentral:rRNA from 1 species